rnacentral:lncRNA from 1 species
GCCAGUCACUUUACAACCGUGGAACACAAAUAAUACUUCUCUUGGAGAAGUUUUUCAUUCCCAAGGCCGUCUCCCUGAGACCCGAGAGUUCAGAGGCAUCGCAGGGUGUUGCUGAGUUGUGUUUCUUAAGCCCGCAGAGCCCCACUUCACGUUCACUCGCUCCCAAAGCGCUCCAACGUGCGCUGAUCUCGUACUGACUUCCAGCAUCCUCUGCCCGGACCGCAGCCGCUUUACCACGUCUUACGUUCCCUUCUGAUCAACCCAGUUACACUGGCUCCUGGGACCUGGGCUGGGUUCCCCCCUGCCCCCUGCCCUCGGCAGGACCGCUGAUCGCAAACAUAGGGGCACGUCGGAGUUCCCGUAUUUCUCACAAAAGAAACCCAAGCUGAGUUGUCUGUGGCACAUGCGUCUGUAACGUCCUGAAAGUGUGCCACGGCCCCUGGCCCAUUCGGACGAGCCUCGGCCCCACAUUCUGUCCUCCACCGCCCUGCUGAGGUCGCCGGAUAAAAUACAGAAUGCCCAGUUACAUUUGAACUUCGGAUCAACAAGAAAUCAUGUUCCGGGCCUCACGCUCCGUGGAACCCGAAACAAACACAAGACAAACCAGAAACACCUCCCCCGAACGCAGACCAUAUUCCGGCGUUCCCUUGAAGCAGGAAGAUGUGCCUGUUUUCAGGUAGAUUUUAGGAGAGUCCUGGUAAACGGGAGACAUAGCCUUUCCGAAGCAUCAUUUUCCUGUUGCGUAGACGUGCAGGGUGACUCGGGGAUAAAUAUUUCAGCUCUUCGUCAUGGUCACUGUUUUUCUCUCCUGCUUAUCACGAGACAUUCUUUAAAGGCUGAAAUUACAGUCACCUUUGCUGAAAAGCAGGAUUCCCCAGCAGGUGAUAGGCAUCAGAAUGAUCUCCAAAUCGCGGAAAAAGCCGCUCCCAGGAAUGUUUCCAGUUCUUUGGUUACGCCGCCUCCGCUUACCCUCCCUCUGGUAACUGUGUCUCGUUGCCCUGCUGCAGAGCGGCCAUCCUCCCCCAAUCCCAGUUCACGGGAUCUGAGCAAAGCUUAUCAUCCGCCCCUCCUUUUUGUAAAGGCUGAGCACGUGACUGGGACUUCACACGCUCCUUGCCCACAGGGGUUGGCCGUGGGACAUAGGUGCUGCCCAGCCGGAGCCUGUGAUACAGGGAUUCUGUUCUGCUGGAAGUGCGAGCUUGAAGGGGAUGUACCAUCUAGCGUCGCUGGCAGCCAUUUUGUUGCUAUGAGGGAAGAGCCUGCGAAGAGAACCAACAAUAAGACAGAGAGAGAGAGAGAGAGAGAAAUAGGCUUUGUUGAUGUUCUGUAAGGUCCUCAUCCAGUCUUCCCGGCCAGACUUGCCCUUCCAUUUUUCAGUCACGUGAUCCAAUACUCUUUUCUUAGCCAGAUCAAGGUCCUCGUCACUUACCACCAAAGACAUUGCAACUUAUACAAAAGGGAAGGGAACGGAAAACACCUGCUGGGUGGGAAGCCCCUCGGAGGAGCCACCAGCUUCAUCCUGGCUAAUGAUAUUUCCCAGGGCGCCCGGGUGGCUCAGUCGGUUAAGCGUCCGACUUCGGCUCAGGUCGCGAGCUCACAGCUCGUGGGUUCGAGCCCCGCAUCUUGCUCUGUGCUAACAGCUGGGAGCCUGGAGCCUGCUUCGGAUUCUGUGUCUCCCUCUCUCUCUCUGCCCCUCCCCUGCUCCCACUCUGUGUGUGUGUGUGUCUGUCCGUCUCAAAAAUAAAUUUAAAAGAAUGAUAUUUCCA